rnacentral:RNase_P_RNA from 1 species
UAGGUUUAAUAGUUUAACUGAAUUUGAACAUCAUUCAUUGUUAACUUUCACAAUGAGUGUCUCAAAUGGAAAGUUUGGAAUCCUUGCUAUACAGGAUUUAUACUCAAUAAUUCAAUAGGAAUUAAUUAAAGAGAAUUAGAUAAAUCUAUGUGUUAAUUAUAUAUAAAUCAAAUUCCUUAGGUAAAAUACUAAUUAUUGAUAAAAUAGUAAUUUCAGUGUUUAACAUAAUCCAUCUUAUUAACUAUUAAACCCCC